rnacentral:rRNA from 1 species
GUAGGGAAUAUUAGAAAUGGACGAAAGUCUGAUCUAGCAACACCGCGUGUGCGAAGAAGGCCUUCGGGUCGUAAAGCACUUUUUGGAAGGAAUAGGAAGGAAUGUACUUCCAGAAUAAGUCUCGGCUAACUACGUGCCAGCAGCCGCGGUAACACGUAGGAGGCAAACGUUAUCCGGAUUUACUGGGCGUAAAGCGCGUGUAGGUGGUACUGUAAGUAGGGCGUGAAAGCUCCUGGCUCAACUGGGAGAGGCCGUUCUAAACUACAGAACUAGAGGAUGGUAGAGGGACGUGGAAUUCCAGGUGUAGCGGUGGAAUGCGCAGAUAUCUGGCGGAACACCGGUGGCGAAGGCGGCCUCCUGGACCAUUCCUGACACUCAGACGCGAAAGCUAGGGUAGCAAACGGGAUUAGAUACCCGAGUAGUCC